UGUGUGGUCAUUAUUUCGGGCAUUUUUUGUUGUUGUUGCUGGCCGUGGCCUGCUUGGGACUGCGUCCUUCCGACUCCACAUCGGUGCUGCGCAGGUGCUGCUCGCUGCUAGUGUUGCCCUCACCUCCCACCUGUGCAUCAUUUUCCUCGUCUGCGCCGCCGACUAGAGUUCCUCGUCUGCGCCGCCGACUAGACGCAUCCUCUCCCGCCUUCUUCGGGUUGUGUUCCCAGAAUAAUCAUCAGCGGCAAACUACACCUUGAAUACACAACGAUGAUGUGUGUCAGAUCGCAUUUGCACCAGCGCACAAAAAAGCCUCUACGGUGUUCGGCUCAGUCUCAGUGUGUGAUGGAUAAGGGUUCCCUUCUUCAAUAGGCAGCGUCCUCUUGGAGCCAUCAAGAGCAACGCCCAGAACAAUGUUGUCUUCGAAAGCUGGACUAGAUUCUUUCUUCA